ACGUAGGGGGCAAGCGUUGUUCGGAAUUACUGGGCGUAAAGGGCAUGUAGGCGGUUUAGUAAGCUUGGCGUGAAAGACCGCAGCUCAACUGUGGGGUUGCGUGGAGAACUGCUGAACUUGAGUUACGGAGAGGGAGGUAGAAUUCCUGGUGUAGGGGUGAAAUCCGUAGAGAUCAGGAAGAAUACCGAUGGCGAAGGCAACCUUCUGGACGAUAACUGACGCUGAGGAGCGAAAGUGUGGGGAUCAAACAG
rnacentral:rRNA from 1 species